rnacentral:misc_RNA from 1 species
AUAAUCCCUGCUUUCACCAUAUCAACAUACUCUCCUUUGGCAGCAUCAUAACCAAGAUCAUGGUUCUCUUGCUCCAAAAGCUUACCAACAAUAACAGCUCCCUCAACUCCAGCAUUACUUGCUAUUGUAUGUACUGGAGUCUUUAGAGCAUUCUGAAUGAUCUGGACACCAAUCUUCUGGUCAAAGUUGGCAGUCUGCAACUUAUCCAACUCUUUUGAGGCAUAAAGAAGAGCAACACCACCACCAGCCAC